UACGUAGGCAGCAAGCGUUGUUCGGAGUUACUGGGCGUAAAGGGUGCGCAGGCGGUCUCGUAAGCUGGGUGUGAAAGCCCCGGGCUUAACCUGGGAAUGGCAUUCAGGACUGCGAGGCUUUGAGUGCGGCAGAGGGAGGUGGAAUUCCACGUGUAGCAGUGAAAUGCGUAGAGAUGUGGAGGAACACCGAUGGCGAAGGCAGCCUCCUGGGCCA
rnacentral:rRNA from 1 species